rnacentral:misc_RNA from 1 species
CGGGUUCUGCCCUUCCUGUGUAGGGCCAAAUUCCAGUGACCUUACUCUUUACCGAGGGAGCUGGCUCUGUGCGGACCGUGGUUCGUUCACCUGGCGCCCACCUGUCUUUACAGGUCCUCGGGAAUUUAGUUAACCCCACGUUAGCGGUGGUCCCGUC